AGCUGGAACACAUCAUUUCUGAUAUGAUGAAACAAAACUAUGGCUAUAAGGACAAGGUGAAGAAGUUGAACAAGAUCUGUGAUGAAUUUUAAGUAUGUAAUGGUUCAAUUUGUAUUGAACUAUCUAGUAGUAGAACUAUCCAGUACUAUAAUUUGUAUUGAAUUAUCCAACAGAACUAUCCCGUAGUAGAAUUAUUCAUUAGUUGAACUAUUCAGUAGUUGAACUAUCCAGUACUAGCAUUUGUAUUGAAU
rnacentral:lncRNA from 1 species